AACGUGUAUAAGCGCGAAUGACCCCCUUGCGUCGUUCAAUUCGCGCAGAGAGAAGCCGGUGAAAAUCCGGCGCGGUCGCGCCACUGUAUCUGGUUGGCAAAUAGCAGGCUUGUCGAACCAGCAGCCAGACCUCUCUUCGUCUUUCUUCCAAC
rnacentral:ncRNA from 1 species